rnacentral:rRNA from 1 species
AUUGAACGCUGGCGGCAGGCCUAACACAUGCAAGUCGAACGAGUGGCGGACGGGUGAGUAAUGUCUGGGAAACUGCCUGAUGGAGGGGGAUAACUACUGGAAACGGUAGCUAAUACCGCAUACCAUCGGAUGUGCCCAGAUGGGAUUAGCUAGUAGGUGGGGUAAAGGCUCACCUAGGCGACGAUCCCUAGCUGGUCUGAGAGGAUGACCAGCCACACUGGAACUGAUACACGGGCCAGCCUCCGUCGGGAUGCAGCCGUGGGUAAUAUUGAACAAUGGGCGCAAUCCUGAUGCAGCCAUGCCGCGUGUAGGAAUAAGGCCUUCGUGUUGUAAAGUAUUUUCAGCGGGGAGGCGUUACCCGCAGAAGAAGCACCGGCUAACUCCGGGCCAGCAGCCGCGGUAAUAC